CCCUAACACAUUACAAUAUACUUCAGAGAGCACCACCCCUAACACAUCACAAUAUCCUUCAGAGAGCACCACCUUUAACACAUCACAAUUUACUUCAGAGAGCACCACCAACACAUCCAACAGCAGCAUCAGUACAACAAUCAGACCCCUGUCCACGACAAUGACCGUGCCGAGUCUGUUGUGUGAAAACAAGGGUAUCUUACAAGACGGGAUCUGCAUCUGCCCAGAUGAUUGGACUGGAACUACCUGCAACAUUCCAAAUUUCUGCCCUGAACAAAAGCCCACACCAACUAGCAAAUUCCAUUUUCUAAAAACUGUCCUAGGCCAGUUUGCUUCCUCCGUAGAGAGAUGUCCACCAGAAACAACAAAUGCUGGCAUUCCCCAGGCAUCAUCUCUCUGUAAUAUAUCUACUCACUCAUUUAAUCCUCCAAACAUUCUCAGUUGUAGUUUGACCCUGGAUGCCAUUAAUGAAGGGAUUCCUGGAGCUACUCCCGAAGAAAAAAAGAACUUAGCCUCCAGCACCCAGAUCCUCACAUCCAUACCAGAACGGCUAACACCCCUCAACAUCACAAAUGCAGCUCAAAUUACCAACACCCUGCUUUCUGAUCAACAAACUACAGAAACUACGGAUAUUGCCAUAUCAGCAGUCGCUACAAUCAGUCAGCUCCUGAACGCAAGUCGUGAGAUGUACUCUUCUGUUGAUCAUACUGCAAUUUCUGAACUAACACAGACUCUACAGAAACUCUCUCUGCGUGAGGAACAAAAUCCAUUGUUGGUGCAACCGAAAAUGGCUGUGCAGUCACUGAAGGGACAGAAGCCAAUCCGACAAGUGCAGUUAACCUUUUUUAAAGGGCUGAGUGAUAACUUUUUACCUGACAGAAUUAAGCUGCAAGUAACAGAGGCUGAGUAUUCCAAACAUACAGUUGACCUUCAAAUGAAUGUCAGAUUCAGUGAAGAUUUUAAUAAAGAUAUUGGAUUUGUCCUCUAUGAUAAUGAUCAGUUCUUCCAGUCAAAAAGCUUUCAACCUUCUUUGGAUACCAAGAGAAGAGUGAUAUCUGCUAAUCUUCAAGAAAAUUCUGGAAUUGAUCAGGUUCAGUUUGCAGUCACACCAUCGAACGAUUCAACAAUGUCCCUCAAUGACUUUGCCUGCGUGUCUUGGAGUUACAGUAAAAAGGACUGGAUCACUGAUGGUUGCACUAAAAUUGAGAAUCACUCGGGAGAUGCAGUUUGCAGCUGUAAAAAACAAAAAAAUGCUAACUUUGCUAUUCUGAUGGCAUUUGAUAUCAACUAUCAAUAUUCUGAAGAGUUGAAUGGGAUCAGCAUCACCGGCUGUGUUCUGUCUGUUCUGGGUCUGUCUGUAACAGCAUUGUACCAAAUCAAAACCAGGAAGUCAAGAGGAGGCAGCCCUACUCUGCUAGUGGUGAACAUCUGCUUGAGUAUGAUGGUUUUCUACCUUCUCUUCAUCCUCGGCAUAAACAACCCUGUCAAACAUAUUGUCCAAAAUGUUACAAAUAUAUCUGGCGAGAAUAUAGUUCCUAAGUCUGAUCACCACAAGUACUCAGAUCAGGGACCUUGUACGGCAAUUACAGCUCUGCUUCAGUACUUCCUGCUGGCUACGUUCACUUGGAACACUCUGUACGGCAUUAAUUUGUUCCUGAUCUUAAGAAACUCACUGUCUGGAACACCUCCAUGGUUUCCAUGGGUCGCCAUGGCUGUUGGAUGGGGUUUGCCUGCUGUUAUUGUUGGUAUUUCAUUGGGUUCCACUUACCAUGUGGAGGAUCCUUUAGGUUAUCGACAAGAAGAGUUUUGCUGGCUGGCUUCACUGGACCACGAGCAAAAGUUUAGUAUAAAGAAACCCAUGCUUUGGGGAUUCUUGCUCCCUUUACUGCUCAUGCUGAUCUCAAGCACACUGAUACUUUUCUACUUCUCUUACACAAUCUGCAGGACCAACCCUAAAUUAAACAAAUCACGUAAAACUCCUCUGAAGAAGAACAUUUUGAGUAGUUUCUCUCUGGCAGUGAUGCUCGGUUUGUCUUGGGUCACAGGCUACAUUUUGCUGAUCGCCCAAGAAAAAAAAUUACAUUAUAUUCUCAGUGUGGUUUUCUGUCUCUUAAACACAACCCAGGGUGUUCAGAUAUUUAUUUUAUUCACAUUGAGGCCUUUUUUAAACUCAAAUCCAGCUGUUCUUAACUCUCUGCGUGCACCAGAAAUAGGCUUAUACAAGAAAACUUUUUUUUUAUGGAAAAAUAAGACACCAGAUAGCAACGAAAGCUACAAAUCCACAGAUCUUGACUCUAUCUGAAAAGGCCAUCAAAGAUCAUUGGUGAGACUGUGGUCUUCUCCUCAACGGUGAUACAUCAUGCAGUGAAGCCUGAUUAAAUGAAUGAAGACUAAAUGAAUAUUUAGAUAGAUAUUUUAAGAAAUUGUCUUAAGGAGCUUCUUUGGCUUUGUUCACACUGCACACCAAUCUGAUUUGGUUUUAAUUUUUACUGUUUAGUAUUGAUUUUAGACAAUUGUCUCAGGUUAUUCAAUAUGACCUGCUUAUUCCAAAAGUAUUAUUGCUCUUUAUUACCUAAUGCAUCUCACAGAGUUCGAGAUACUCUGCAGUAAAUAGGUGCCAUAAGAAUGAAAUCCAAACAGUUGAUAUAAACAAAACAAUAAUCCACAAGAAAUCAAGUGAAAGUGAAGUGACAUUCAGCCAAGUGUAGUGACCCAUACUCAGAAUUCAUGUUCUGCAUUUAACCCAUUCAAAGUGUACACACACAUACACCUGGAGCAGUGGGCGGCCAUUUAUGCUGCAGUGCCCAGGGAGCAGUUGGGGGUUUGAAGCCUCACCCAAGGGCACCUCAGUUGUGGUAUUGCCAGCCCGAGAUUCAAACCCACAACCCUAGGGUUAGGAGUCAAAGUCGCUAACCACUAGGCCAAGACUUCCCCACGACUUCAACAAGCAAUACACUCGACUCCAAAUGGUGUAUUACUCUGUGAAUUAUAUCUGAGCAUUUUAUUGAUAGUGAUCCUUGAAAUAUAUAUAUUAAUUAAAUGCAAUAAUCCAGUGAGAUUUUUGUUUGCACAAGUAGUCUGACAGAAGCCAGUGCUCCACACAUAGAUCUGAUCUCAUCAUCAUCCAGUCUGUCUGGAAUGCCACGAAGAAACAGGACAAAAUGAGAAGAACUGUAGCAAUACCUCCAAAAUGCUUCAAGAAACCUGCAAAGCAACGGUACUGUGCAAAGUUUAAGACACUUGUGUAAAAAUGCUGUAAAUUGAGGAUGCCAAAUAUAACGCCAUUAAUAGAUUUUAUUAAUGAACUUCUCAUAACUUAACUAAAUUAAAUCAACACACUCAAUAAAAAUUUAUGUAAACAUGUAAGUUGCAUAUAUGGCAGUUUGUGCAUUAACUUCUAAAUUGAAUUAUAAAAUUAUGCUCAAGUUCGUCGUUGGAAAUACAAUCAUUUACAGAGUGGCUAUCAUAACUUGUUCUGAUGAUUGUUCUGAUGAACAGAUUUAUUUAAAUAUACAUUAAAUAUUCAAGACAUCACUUACAGUUUGUCAUAUAUAAUGAAUACUGUACAUAAGAUAAUAUAGUGAAGUGGUUUCGCUAUGAAUAUAUCAGGUGAUUCUCAUGCCUCAAGCUGGAUAUAUCUAUGCCUGUGCAUCAUGCAACUGAACUUGUACAUGCAUCAAGAAUUUGCCUUAUUUGAACAACAGUAUGCUUUGAAUGGUGAGCUCAGCCUUGCUUUCUUGUUGAGUGAUGCUUUUAAAGUAACAUUUUUGUAAUGUUCAGUACUAUUGAGAUCUAUCUGUGGUAUGUUGGACUGUUGUGUUUUUCUCAAUGCUGUGGUCAUUUCUGAAAUUGUUUUUGGAUGGAAAAUUUGAUAUGCACAAGCUCUUCAAUCUGCCUUCUCAUCUUUUCUUUCCUUCAAUAAAUAUUUUUAAUAUAAAGAUCA